CCUACGGGGGGCUGCAGUAAGGAAUAUUGGACAAUGGUCGAAAGACUGAUCCAGCCAUGCCGCGUGAAGGAUGAAGGCCCUAUGGGUUGUAAACUUCUUUUGUACGGGAAAAAACCCUCGCUCGUGAGCGAGGCUGAUUGUACUGUAAGAAUAAGGAUCGGCUAACUCCGUGCCAGCAGCCGCGGUAAUACGGAGGAUCCAGGCUUUAUCCGGUUUAAUUGGGUUUAAGGCGUGCGUGGACGUCAGUGUAGAAAUCUCUCGGCUUAACCGAGAAACUGCCAUUGAUACUGCAAAUCUUGAGUACAGUUGAUGUGGGCGGAAUGUGUCAUGUAGCGGUGAAAUGCUUAGAUAUGACACAGAACACCGAUUGCGAAGGCAGCUCACAAAACUGUAACUGACGCUGAGGCACGAAAGCGUGGGUAUCAAACAGGAUUAGAUACCCCGGUAGUC
rnacentral:rRNA from 1 species